GAAUAAGAAGUAGUGGAGCUCUAACAGGGAAAUGAACAGGCAAGAAGUCUGUGCAGGAGGAUCUGAUCUGCUGCCUCAGCACUUGUGACCCAAUAACCCGGGCAUGGAGGGAACAAAGCGGAGGGGUGGAGGAGGAUAAAUCACGGCGGAGCCGGGCGUAAGCGUGGCACGAGCUCUAAUUGAAGGCCCCGUUAGACUGCUGAGUCGGAGCCGAAGCCCUGAGGAGCGAUCACCAGCUGUAAAUUACAGCAGGUGUCACAGGGAAAGUGCUGUAGAUGUAGGCAUGGAGAGUGACUUCAGAUCUGCAGUGGUGUUUGUCAACCCUUUUUCUCAAACACACACACACACACACACACACACCACACACACACCACACACGCACACUCACACACACACAGGCUCGAAGAAGAACUUCAAUAUUACCCUCACAUCACUCCAGCGCAUCCUGUCAUGAAGAAGUGGAAUGUUUUACAGUUUUUCCCCUCCGUACGCUUGGGAUUUUUUACGGCCCCUUAUAUAAGCGCUUUAUAUAAGUUUAAAAAUAGAUAGCUGCUCGGUCAGCACGGACUCCAGCUGCGUCCCAGCAUGAAAAAAUGGAUCUGCUAUCAGGGUCUAAGAAUGUUACGGGAAUUCGGUUGACGUUGUUUAGAAGACCUUAAAGAGGUGGGCGGGGCUUCUCUCUAGAGUUUACAAUAUAGAGUUGAGUGAAUAUAUCGAUUUUUGCGCUGGUUCACUGGCACUGUUUUGACGUCGCAGAGGUUGAUGAUUUCCCUGUUUUUGGUUUUUAAGGGUGUGUGUGUGUGUGUGUGUGUGUGUGUGUGUGUUGUGUAUUUGGGAGAGUUAAAGCAGUAGCUAGCGAUCGCUCUCUGUUGGUGAUGAGUGGAGGUUGGGUGGAAGUGACUUUACCUUUGUGUGAUAUCUACAGUCAGUAAGUGAGUAAGGGUGUGUUCAUGUGUGUGUCUGAGUAUGUUUGUGACUUGGACAUGUAUGUAUGGAUCUGUAAGUGUCUAUAUAGUAAGUGUGAGUGAGUGAGUGAGUGAGUGAGUGAGUGAGUGAGUGAGUGAGUGUGUGUGUGUGUAUACAUGCACAUUUAUUGCAUUUGAACUGGAUGUAGAUCAGUAAGUAGUAAAGUGAGGGGAGUCGAACAUGUUUUGUGCUUCAUGUGCAUUGUUACAGAGUGUUAGUGUUACAGAGUGUGUUAGUGUGUUAGUGUUGUAUGUAGUCCCUCAUCCCUGUGUAAAAAUGUCACUCUUCCAUUCAGUCCAGUUAAAAAUCAGCUCUUAUUGUUGUGUUUUCUCAUAAGAGUGUGACAGAAGUUUAUUGAGGUGUUAGAGAUUCAUACUCAGAGGCACCACCCUUUUAACAUUAUCUAAAGCAGGUUGUAUUACAGAUCGGAGUUACUUCCCACCUUCAUCGUGCAGGUUGAUGGAAAAACUCAGACUCUGUGUUUGUUCUGCUGCUCAAUGUAACGCCUUCUGAAGAUCAACCUUCUGGGAUUCCUCUUCCCUGGAUGUGAUCAAAGUCUGCCUUGCUUGGCAUCUAGAGCUCCUCCCACUUAUCCAGUCCCUCCCACUCCUUCAGCUCCUCCCAGUUUCAUUCAGCUUUUUUUUUUUUUUUUUUUUUACAUUAGAUAUCCUUUUAAAAGAUAAACCCCCCAAAAAAAGGAGUUCAGUGUGCAGGUCUUGGUGGUGAUGUGGUAAAGGCCUUGCUUCUCACCCGUGAGGUUGUUGGUUCGAAUCCCGCAAGGGUUUAUGUGUGGAUAAUAGUGAGAGGCAAAAGAGGCUGGUUGGCAAGGGUGAGAGGAGUGGAAAGGAAAGGAGAGGAGAGGAGAGGAGAGAAGUGGGAGGUUAAAGAGGAGGGUGAAGAGUGAGCAGAUGAAAAAGGUAGUAGUUUCUUUUAAGACUCUAUUCUUUUGGGUUUGCCUGGAAGUUUAUGGCUUUUUUAAAUCAUUUUUUUCCUCUUGUAGUUCACCCCACUUUGCUGGGCCCAGGGAGCCCCAGCUCUCCCUUGUCAUCAACCCCACCUCUCUCUCUCUCUUUCUGUGUGUGUGUUACCCUUGUUGGGGAUGACUGCCCCAUUCACUCUGGUUCAUCACACUGUCCUGCCUGCUCUAUUUCCGCCACGCUGACCGCCCCACUCAGCGUGCGCCCGUUCCGCCGCGCUGACCGCCCCACUCAGCGUCGCCCGUUCCGCCGCUGACCGCCCCACUCAGCGUGCGCCCGUUCCGCCGCGCUGACCGCCCCACUCAGCGUGCGCCCGUUCCGCCGCGCUGACCGCCCCACUCAGCGUGCGCCCGUUCCACCACGCAGUACUCAGUCUGCACCAUUUCCGCCACACUGACCACCAUACUUGGUUUUCGCCACACUCACUUUUGGUCCUUUAAACACCCCAUUUGCUGCCAUUGACCAUGUAUUGACUCAUUGUAGCUUUGACCUGGAGUUUGAUACCACGACCUCUAGAUCCAGAGGCAACUGUCAAUCCACUGAGCCACAGAGCUCAUAACGAAACCUGCUCUUUAAAGACAAUUCUCUUCUACAUUCAGGUUAUAAGUCAGAAAGACACUAAAAGUGGAUUUGAACCACAGACCUACUACAUCAAGGAGCAUUACUCGACCCACUACAUUACGUUCAUGGAGCUUUUUAUCAGUCUCACUUACACAACUACCAUGGACAUAAAACCAACGUGUCAUUAUUGUUGGUUAAAAAGAAAAAUAGUGUGGUUGGUUUUGAACCUACAACCUUUUGCAUUAAAGAGCAUUGUUCUAACCA